rnacentral:rRNA from 1 species
AUGGAUCGUCACAUGCGCGGCCUCCCGGCCGGCGACGCCGAACCGGAACCGCCGGAGACGCGGCACGCACGACAGCCGCCCACCCGCCUGCCAUCCCAGCAGUUUGCCGGUUUCCUCCGCCGCCCGUCUCCUCGUUUUUUUCUAACCGCCUCCGCCGCACGCGGCCUCCUCCCCGACGAAACCGCCGGGGCAGCGGCCGCCCGCCAUGCCGAGGCAGUUGUUUCCUGCGCCGCUCUGCUUCGAUCGUGCGUGCGCCUCGGUUUUGCACCGCCCGUCCCAAACUCCCAACCGGAGCCGGUGGCGUCACAUGCCGCGCCUCUGGCGCCGGCUCACGUGACCGCUUUGGCGGGUCGACACGCGCCUGCCCUCGUUCUCAGAGCGCGGCACAUGCAGGGGGCGAGCUGCCCCAUGUGUCCGUACGGGAGCCCCGAGGCUGACCAAUCCGCCAGCGGCGCAACGUGCGCGCACUGCACUGCACGUCGCUGUACGUACGCUCACCUCCACACUGCUCGAUCCAGUAGCGUAGUAGUAUAG